rnacentral:tRNA from 1 species
GCACCUGUAGCUCAGUUGGAUAGAGCAACAGGCUUCGAACCUGUAGGUCGGGCGUUCGAGUCGCUCCAGGUGCG